rnacentral:lncRNA from 1 species
AAAAAAAAAUCAAUUAAAAUAAAUUGACAUAAAAAUAAAUUGACAUGAAAAUAAAUUGACAAUGAAAAUGUCCUAUUUAAAAGCUCCCACCUUAAGGUACCCUAGGUACUACCUUAGCUAAACAUGAACUCAACCUCUCCCAAGCCUUGGGUCUUCCUUUGUGACCCUUAGAGCAUCCUAUUAUGUGGUUCUCUUGAGUGCUCAAGUGGUCCACCAAUGGUUUUUUGGGACUGUACCUUAGGUACACCUUAAUGACCUUUAAGUAUUACCUUAAGAGACCCUAGGUACUACCUUAGCUAAACUUGAACUCAACCUCUCCUAAGCCUCGAGCUUUCCUUGGCUUUCCUUUGUGAGCCUUAAAGCAUCUCAUUAUGUGGUUGAGCAUCUCAUUAUGUGGUUCUCUUGAGUGCUCAAGUGGUCCACCAAAGGUUUUUUGUAAUUGUACCUUAGGUACUACCUUAAGAGCCCUUAGGUACUACCUUAAUGGCCUUUAGGUACUAGCUAAAGGGACCCUAGGUACUACCUUAGCUAAACAUGAACUCAACCUCUCCCAAGCCUCGGGUCUUCCUUUGUGACCCUUAGAGCAUCCCAUUAUGCGGUUCUCUUAAGUGCUCAAGAGGUUCACCAAAGGUUUUUUGGGACUGUACCUUAAGUACUAC